AUACCCUAUUAUACUAGAAAAUAAAUAGGAAUACCAGAUUAUUAAUAGAUAUGUUCUUGAAAUUCAAAGAAUUUGGCGGUGAUUUAGUCUAAUCAGAGGAACCUGUUUUUUAAUCGAUAAACCACGUAGAAUCUUGCUUACUUUAUAAAAGGUUUGUAUACCGUCAUUAACAGAUAAUUUUUAGAGAAAGAAUUAUUAAUAAUAAGUAGUUUAUAUUAAUUAAAUUAGAUCAAGGUGCAGCUUAUAAGUAAGUUAAAAUGGGUUACAAUAAAUUUUAUUUAUGAUGAAUAUUUAAUGGAAGAAAUUAAUUAGAAGGAGGAUUUGAUUGUAAUAUAAGUUUAAUAUGCUUAGGAGACAUAAGCUCUAGAUCAUGUACAU
rnacentral:rRNA from 1 species